GAUGAACGCUGGCGGCGUGCCUAAUACAUGCAAGUCGAGCGAACGGACGAGAAGCUUGCUUCUCUGAUGUUAGCGGCGGACGGGUGAGUAACAUGUGGAUAACCUACCUAUAAGACUGGGAUAACUUCGGGAAACCGGAGCUAAUACCGGAUAAUAUUUUGAACCGCAUGGUUCAAAAGUGAAAGACGGUCUUGCUGUCACUUAUAGAUGGAUCCGCGCUGCAUUAGCUAGUUGGUAAGGUAACGGCUUACCAAGGCAACGACGCAUAGCCGACCUGAGAGGGUGAUCGGCCACAUUGGAACUGAGACACGGUCCAGACUCCUACGGGAGGCAGCAGUAGGGAAUCUUCCGCAAUGGGCGAAAGCCUGACGGAGCAACGCCGCGUGAGUGAUGAAGGUCUUCGGAUCGUAAAACUCUGUUAUUAGGGAAGAACAUAUGUGUAAGUAACUGUGCACAUCUUGACGGUACCUAAUCAGAAAGCCACGGCUAACUACGUG
rnacentral:rRNA from 1 species